rnacentral:rRNA from 1 species
AUUGAACGCUGGCGGCAGGCCUAACACAUGCAAGUCGAACGAGUGGCGGACGGGUGGAAAAUGUCUGGGAAACUCCCAGAUGGAGGGGGAUAACUAUUGAAAAGUGUAGCAAAUACCCAAUACCUUCGGAGGUUCCCAGAUGGGAUUAGCUAGUAGGUGGGGUAACGGCUCACCUAGGCGCCGACCCCUAGCUGGUCUGAGAGGAUGACCAGCCACACUGGAACUGAGACACGGUCCAGACUCCUACGGGAGGCAGCAGUGGGGAAUAUUGCACAAUGGGCGCAAGCCUGAUGCAGCCAUGCCGCGUGUAUGAAGAAGGCCUUCGGGUUGUAAAGUACUUUCAGCGAGGAGGCGUUACUCGCAGAAGAAGCACCGGCUAACUCCGUGCCAGCAGCCGCGGUAAUUC